ACAGCAGCCGCCACGGUAAUACGAAGGGUGCAAGCGUUACUCGGAAUUACUGGGCGUAAAGCGUACGUAGGUGGUGGUUUAAGUCCGUUGUGAAAGCCCUGGGCUCAACCUGGGAAUUGCAGUGGAUACUGGGUCACUAGAGUGUGGUAGAGGAUAGUGGAAUUUCCAGUGUAGCAGUGAAAUGCGUAGAGAUCGGAAGGAACAUCUGUGGCGAAGGCGACUAUCUGGGCCAACACUGACACUGAGACACGAAAGCGUGGGGAGCAAACAGGAUUAGAUACCCCAGUAGUCCCUGUCUCUUAUAC
rnacentral:rRNA from 1 species